UAUGGGUGCAAAUAUUUUACCUGUGAAUGGUAUUGUUUCUUACCUUACACAGAAGAUGAGGUUUCUGUCUCUUUAGACAAAGGAGGAAUGCCUUGUUUUUCUUUUUAUCUUGAAAUGAGCUAAUCUAGGUUUGCCUAGAUUAGUUCUGAUCUUGAUAGUUGUAUGUGCUCCUGUGGAAGAGGGAUCAUCAGCUUCAAAGUAGCUUCAUAGAUGUUUCCAAUACUAGUGUGAAGAAAAAUGUGUUGCAUAUUAACAGUGUUGCUCUUGGAUGCUGUAGAAGAAAUGGUACAGCUGGUUCUUAGAGAAGUGAGAUCGUAGCCAAGACUGAAGAAUUCAGACUCCUCAUGCAGCUAUGAUAGAUAGAUGUGUACUUUCCCUCUCAAACAGGAGACAGAUUCCUCUCUGAGGACUUAAUGUAGUAUGCUUGAUUUUUUUUUUCAAGUGGUUUAGAAACAUGAGGCACAAAGCAAUUUGAGGAAGUGCUGUGCUAUCUUACCAGCACUUCAUGUUACAGCCUUUUGGAAGUAUUGCUAAUAAGAUAUAAUUUCCUGUCCUUCCAAUUAACAUUCCUUUCUACUUGAACUAGGACUUCAUGACCGAAGGAAAUACCUUGCAUUUCAUCAGAGAGGAAGGUUUCUAUCAGGCUCUGUGAUGUUACAUUUAAUGCUCAGAAACAAAGAACAGAGUUCAAGGGACAGAUGGAUACAGAUGGUGUGAAAGGAGCUACAGAAGGCAUUGUUGGCUCCGAUAUAUGGAAGAUGGUUAGCUCGUUCACAGGGACCCAGAGAGCUUAUUACCUGCUGUGAGAUGACUUCUGUUGCCAACCGCUUCUACAUUAUUGAAACUAGAUUAGAAGCGAUGUAUCAGAGAUUCUGGAUGAGAACAUUCCACUCAUUAAAGACAAGAUGAUGGAAAUGAACCACGUCUAUGCCAAAACUGAUAAAUUAGAGCUCCACGGGCAUUUAUUAGAACAGUUGCACACCAUGUUUCCUUCCUAGAAGAGCAAGUGCUUGAAGCAGCGAAGAGCCAUGCCAUUUAAAAAAUGGGGCUGUCCUGACCAUUUUUAUAGACAUCCUCCAUGAGUGGCACUUUCUUAAGAUCUGCCAAAGCUCUACCAAACUGAAGACUUUUUCCCUAUGAACGAUGUAGGUACCAAGUAUCAAAAUCAUUAAUUUGUGUUUCUUUUAUAAAAGGCUGAGUUUGUUCUUAUGGUUCAUACUUAUAUAUAUAUAAAUUAGAAGCAACUGUUACAUUUCAGAUCUUUGGUUGCUAUCUCUAAAGGGAAGCUAAAACUUUCCAAUCGUAUUGUGGCCACGUAGAGGCUGGAACGUUUAUUCUAUGAUUUGUUCACAGUACUUUACACCAUAAACUUACUGAACCAGCGAAGUAUAUAUGCAAAAACUUCAUAUUUUUAUACUUAAAAUGAUCAGAAGGUUAAAGAAUGUGCUAGUAUUACAUGCUAAAACUGCCAGCUUCACAAAUGUUCAGGUUUCAGCAUAGAGUGUGAAAGCAAUGUCAGAAUUUAAAAAUUCAGUAAACCACUUAUGGGCAAACCUUCUAGCACUCUUCUUCAAAGCCAGAAUAAGGUUUUAAAAGCUGCUGUGUAAUGUUAAGUUGAAUGGUAUGAGUAAACUUUCUUUCAAGUUCUUAUGGACCUUUGCAUGUGCCAUUUAGUAAUUAAGAUUCUAUUUAACCAGAACUCAAAGUAGAAUAGUUCAUCUCCCCACCUGUAGCUUUUUUGCUCUUUGGUUUUUUUUUUGUCUAGGUCAACAAAAAACGCUUAAUUGUCUGAAUAAGGAAAGUUAGAAAGAGGUUAUAUACUUAGGUUAGGAGAUUCUUGUCUCUUAUGUACAGAAGAUCUCACUAUGGCAACAAUGAGGACGGGCUGGUCAAAAUGGUAGACUGCUUCUGAAAGAUAAACACUUCAGAUAGGUGGCUUUGCAUACAGUACAAUUUGAAGAAAUAGAAAGAAAUGCUCUUGCUUUAAAGACGCCUGUGAAAAAAACUUAAUCUGGAGGAUCACAUGCAAAUACUAGAAAGGGAAGUGGGGGAUAAGGAGAAGGGGAAAAAAAGCUUAUGGUGAAAGUAAAGCUCUGUGGCUUUGAGAAACCAUGGAGACCAACGCUUUUCCAAUGCUGAAAUAAAUGAACUCAAUGUUUUCAUAUUUAUUAGUGGAAUUGGAGAUGAAAGAUAUAAGUGAAUUAAAAUAUGAAGCAAUAGACAGACCUAGUCAGUGUCUCUGCCCCUGCAAUGCAGGCUAUCAUAAUGGAUGACUACAAAUGGACUGACAUUACAGAGAGGAAAACUAAUUACAAAAGGCACAAAAUACUCAUUAUACCAACCCUUUUAGCAAAACAUCAGCUUCUUUAUUAACAGAAAUGAAGAGACAAUACAGACACCAUGCUCCUGGAAUCUUUUGGUUCUGAUAAAAAUUGAGAUAAACUUGUUUUAUCUUUACCCUUAGCAGUGUUUGAAAUAUAUGUACUACAAAAUGGGUUACUGUAUUAGAAAUCUAAUAAUUUCCUGGAGACAAGAACAAUAAAAAGUUGCUAUAAAAAAUACUGGGUAAAUAUCCAGGUUUCUGACUUCCAAAUCCUUGUCAAAGGGUCAAGCAUUACUUGGCAAGUUCUUGCCACAGAAAUGUUACAGCUGGACAGAGGAUGCCAGCGUUAAACGUCACUUAUCUUUCAGCAGGGUUAAGAGCUUGUGAAAUGAACUUCAGUGCAGGUGAUUCUGGAACACUAAGUUUGCACUGAGUACAAACAGUACUGUAGGUAAAUGGUUAAUUCACAAAGGAAAAUGCUGAGAUCAAGUGAGACAUUAGUAUACAAUGCAGCUGACUGAUAGAAAACUAGGAGUUUAGCGAACACCCGCCUCUGUCCCUGCUGGAAAAUAACAGUUUCCUUAGGAUGAAAGGUCGCUGGCUGUUGACUAGGCUUCAAGAAGUGAGGGGGGCAGGAACGAAGGAGAGGUGUAGGAACGCAGCCGGGAGGGCUGUACUUGGCGAGGCAGCACAUCUCAGCUGCGGGUCAGCGCAGUGGAGCAUGGUUCAAAGUCACAGGUAUAAGAAAACCACAAGCACCCACAGAAAUAUAGUUAAAAGUGUCAUAUAAAAAUGCAAACACCCCUACCAUUCUCAGGCUGCCCUUGCCAGGCUCAGGUAUUUGUCAAGACAAAUUACCGGGUCGUGCUCCCUUGAAGUUUUUGUUGCACAAAGCUGUCUUGUAUCUAGAAAUACCGCGUAUGCUAAUGAUCCACUUCCUUCUCAGGGGUUAAGCCUUUCGAUUUCAGGUAACAUGCUUCAGAUGAAAACACUUCACUUUGCUUAAUUCAGGUGAACUGGCUAAAGGAAAUUCUUUAGCUAAGGGAUCUUUCUGCUCUAUGAUGCUGGCCAAAGCUGGCACACAAACUGGGUUCUCCUACAGAAGACAGCAGAACUUAAGGGGUCAGACUGAGCUGGCGACUCUGCAAGCACAGCUUACACAGAACUGUAAUAAUGUAUGUACAAAUUGGGUACCUUCCAUCUCACACAAUCGUAAUGCUGCAAUAAACUAUCACUACACGAUCUC